AAAAUGUGGUCUUAUUUGUAAAUAGAAAUUCUCUGUAACAUAAGGAUAAUAUUUGCAUACUUAUAAGAACAAAUCUUUGUGGGGUGGUUCAGAACUAUGUGAUGAAACUUUCAGGGAUUGCUCGGCUGUAUCAAUAGAAGGUAUCUGAGUAUAAGCAUGUAUGCCCAAAAAUAUUUGGUUAAAGCCCUACCGCCCAUGAUCUUUAAGGCCCUUUCUGUGCAAAAAUAUGUAUUCUUAAGUGUAUGAUGUCUUAUUUUAACUGGCGUAUAACUCAAGUUUAUUGUAAUUCUUCGGUGACCUCCCGAUACUAGCACUUUAAAACCUAACUUGCAUUUUGAGAAAGCUGGUUUUAACCGAGUUGCCAAUGGCCUUUCGACUAGCAUUUGUCAAAUUGCGCAUGGUCUGGGUACCACCCAAACUUCCCAUUGGCGGCUGUUGCAUAAAGAACUUUAUCCCUACCAUUUACACGCAGUCAGAGGUUCGACGCAGGCAGAUUAUCAGUUGCAAGCCAAUGACUAUACUUACAUACGUAAUCGUUUAAAGCAGGGCGUAUCUAGCAGUGUUUUCUACAUCGUUUAUACUUUGUAAACAGUUGAUCAAACUUUGUGAUUUUUGUGGCCUCUGGUCAUAGGAUCUCACGCCUUUAGAUUUCUUAUUUAUGGCACUUGAAGUCGGUGAAAACGACCACUUCCAAGGAUUCAAGUUCAAGGGCGAUUUUUGAUACAAUCAGAAUGAUUGGUAUAGAUGCGGUUCCUGAAGAAAGUAGAAUGAAAGGAAAUUAUCAACUAAGUAACGUACCUACAUUUAACAUCCCGGCCACCCCAAUUUUGUAAUUUUUAAUGGUAACGCUGCCCGUAUUAACUGAAACCCCAUUCCAGUUAUCAAAUUCUAGCUGAGUUUGAUACUGUUCUCGGUCUUGAUAUGGAUUUGAGGGGUCGCAAAUAAGUACUCUUAACAAUUUUGCAUCACAACGUAGAAACCGCUUGAGUUUUCUUAAGUGGCUUUAGGAAUAUUUGAAAAUCUAGGACGGUUCCUGAGAAAAAGCAAUCUAAGUAGUCCAUCGCCACGGCUGUGGCUUGUACCCGUAAAAUAUGAACUUCAAGAACCACAACACUGACCUAGUUAGAAAGCUAAUUAUUAUAAAUUUAGAAUCAUCGUUCGUAUCACAUAAUUCAUUAACACUGUUGUGUGUUAACACGGUGUUACACUUUGUCAAAAUGCAUUUAUAACUAAAUUGUCAAACUCAAUUGAGUCGAAUUUGUUUACUAAAUAUAAAACUAAAUCAUAAAUCAUUGAUUGAAAUAAUACACUACCCUUUAUAAGCCACAUAUUCCUGGAAAGCAUUUGGUUUACAAUUCAUGAAUAUUAUAGAAUUAUUGAAUAGAAUUGAAGUUGAAAAUCGUUAGGAAUGCAGACUAGUAGAUAUUAAUUAUUUAGUUUUAAUAAUUAAAUUUUUAAGCUUUUACGUCUGUUCAAUUUUCGUCUUUUGUUCAGCAAAUUUUAAAACCUGUUUUUUUGUAUUUGGACUGUAUCAUACUGGUUUUCAUAUCUGGCAUUGUCUAUUCAAUUUUUGUAAUGUAUUUUACAAUUUAAAAACUGCAAAUGAUAUAUUAAUUGAUAGUGUUAUAUUGCACGUCAAAAGUACUUUUUAAUGAGAUAAUACUAGUGCAGGGUUACCGAUCAUAGAAACGAAAAAGAAAAUAAAUUAUAUAAGAUAAAUAUGUCUGAUGUUUUCCAUUCCUGAGUAUGUAGAAAUUUCAGAAAUGUAAUUUCCAUUAAAGAAAUAUUACGAUUGUUCAGAAACAUUUGUUCAGAAAGCGCGACACACUAUAAUUAAUUAAAAAUAAAUACGUUCUAUUUGGA